GGAUGGCCGCGUUCGAUUCAAGGUCGGCAGCUUCAUCUCCGGCCGGUACCACCUGUACGUCCGCUGCCAGGCAUACAUUCAAUUCGGGAACAGAAACGCAGGGAUCGCUGUCGGUAAUAACGCCGUUAAGUACCAGUUGGCUGAAGGCUGCAGCGUCAGCGUCUAGAGUAGAUGGAUGGAGUCUGACGUCAUCAAAGUUUUAACGCCGUUAAGUAAUUCUUCUCCCCCCCCCCCCUCUCUUGCCUAUUAUAUUUUCCGAUUUUAAGAAGUAUAAUUCACACGGCGGUUGAUCGGCGAUCGAUGACGACGGCGGUAGCUGGAAGGUUUCGUGUGUUGUUGUGGAUUAUAUUAGAUAUACGGUGGUACACGUGGGAUGGAUGUUAAUGUUACUACAGGCUCUUUCAUUUUUCGGAAAUUGAACUGUAAAUUUCAGGCGAUGAUCAAACAUUGAAAUAUAUAAAAUCGCAGUUAAUUUUGUUCUUGUUGGAUUAUUAUUGGAGGAUUGUUUGGGUGACGGUGGAAGAAGGAAUUGAAUUGGUUGUCG
rnacentral:lncRNA from 1 species